AUGGAGUCACAGACACAGGUCCUCAUGUCCCUGCUGCUCUGGGUGUCGGGUGCCUGUGCUGAUAUCAUAAUGACCCAGUCUCCAUCCUCCAUGGCUGUUUCACCAGGAGAGAAGGUCACCAUCAGCUGCAAGUACAGUGAGAGUCUUUCAUACAGUAAAGAUCAGAAGAACUACUUGAACUGGUACCAGUGGAAACCAGGGCAUGCUCCAAAACAGUUAAUCUUCUAUGCAUCCACUCGGGAUUCUGGGGCCCCUGAUUGCUUCAUAGGCAGUGGAUCUGAGACAGAUUUCACUCUCACCAUCAGUAGUGUCCAGGCUGAAGAUCUGGCAGAUUAUUACUGUAUGCAAUCUUAUGAGUAUCCUCCCACAGUGCUUCAGCCUCCAACAAAAACUUCUGAGAAUUUCAACAGCUGCCUGCACCACAGGCUGCCUUGCACAUGUACACUUCUUCCUUCUGCCUAG